AGUAACUGCAAAUGCAAUCUUAGUUACAGCACCACACUAAUAUGUGCAUGAUGUAGAGAGCUGACAGCGAGAGCCUACAUGCAUACAGGUGUGGAGGGUGUCAUGCCCUGCUCCUGCUGAUCCUCCCGUGUGCCGAGCCCCCUCAUCUACCCUGUGUGGAAUCCCUGUGCUACCAGCUGUUUUGAGUCACGUUGAUUGUUGCUAUGUACUUAAGUCCACAUUAAAGUAUGUUUCCUCAGUCCCCAUUGACGUCAUGUUGUUGGUGUUCAGGGUUACGCUGACAGUGUUCACUUUCAGAGACACUGUCCACUCUUGUGCUCUCGAACACCUCGGGCCAGCUACCCGCAGGAACCAAGACUGGUUUGACGAGAACAACAAAGAGAUACAGGCACUGCAAAUGCAGAGAAGCACCAGCUGUUCAGAGCCCACAAGAAUGACCCCUCCUCACAAGCAAAGAAAGACGCCUUCACCAACGCCAGGCAGCACGUCCAGAAGAAGCUCCGUGAGACGCAGGAUGCCUGGUACAGUGCGAAGGUUACCCCGACAGCAACAACACUAAGCGUUUUUAUGACGCUUUGAAGGCUGUCUAAGGACCUCAGCCCACCAGCUCCUCCUCCCUCCUCAAUGCAGAUGGGACCCAGCUGUUGACAGAGAAGAAGCAGAUCCUGGAGAGAUGGGCUGAACACUUUGACCAGGUCCUUAACUGUCCUGCUGCAUUCAACGAAGAGGCCAUCGCACGCCUACUUCAAGUAGAGAUUAAUAACGACCUCGAUACUCCCCCCACAGAAGAUGAAGUCAGAAAGACCAUCAAGCAGUUCUCCUGCGGCAAAGCUCCAGGAUCAGACGCUAUUCCUGCAGAGGUUUACAAGGCAGGUGGCUCAGCCCUGUUGCAGAAUCUGACUAUGCUCUUCCAGUCAAUGUGGCGUGCAGACGAGGUUCCCCAGCAGUGGAAGGAUACUCGCAUCGUCCACAUCUACAAGAGGAAAGACAACUGGCAGCAAUGUGGCAACCACAGGGGCAUCUCUCUACUGUCCACUGCAGGGAAGAUCCUGGCUCCAGUCCUGCUCAACCACCUCCUUCUACACCUUGAGCAGGGGGCUCUUCCCAGAAAGUCAGUGUGGCUUCCGUGCUGAACGUGGAACUGUCGACAUGAUAUUUGCUGCGCGCCAACUUCAGGAGUGCCAAGAGCAACACAGCAACCUCUGACCGUUUUCAAUUUGACUAAGGCCUUCGAUACAGUCAGCAGAGACGGCUUAUGGAAAAUCAUGGAGAAGUUUGGCUGCCCCAGCGGGUUCAUCAUAAUGGUGCGACAGUUCCAUGACAGCAUGAUGGUCAAAGUACUCGACAAUGGUGACGAGUCAGAAGUCUUCCCUGUAACCAAUGGCGUCAAGCAAAGUUGCGUUCUUGCCUCGACACUCUUCAGCAUUGUAUUCUCCGCCAUGCUGACCGAUGCAUUCCAGGGCUCCCAAGAUAUUCCAGGGCAUCCACCUCAGAUAUCAGACUGACGGCAGGUUGUUCAACCUCAGACGCCUGCAGGCUAUCACAAAGGUGAAAGAGAUGAUUAUCAGAGACCUGUUGUUCGCUGACGACUGUGCCCUCAACGCCCCACAGAGCAGAAGAUGCAGCAUGAAAUGGAUUGCUUCUCCAAAGCUUGUGACAGCUUUGACCUCACCAUUAGCACCAAAAAGACCAAAGUCAUGUACCAGCCUGCACCAGGCAAGCCUUACCAUGAGCCACAUAUCAUACUGAAAGGGCAAUAACUUCAGACAGUUGACAACUUCACUUACCUGGGCAGCACCCUCUCUUGCGCCAUCAACAUUGAUGCCGAGAUCAACAACAGGGUGGCCAAGGCCACCUUUGGGAAACUCCGAGAGAAUGUCUGGGAGUGUAGAGGUAUCAGCCUAACUACCAAGCUGCUCUAUGCCUGUGAGACCUGGACCGUCUACAGCAGACGAGCCAAACAGCUCAACCACUUCCACACAAGCUGCCUCUGUCGACUCCUCCGCAUUAGGUGGCAGGACAAAGUGCCAGACACAGAGGUCCUAGAGUGGGCUGGCCUCCCCAGCACCUUCACCCUCCUGCAGAAGAUGCACGCAAGAUGGACUGGCCAUGUCAUCAGAAUGCCAGACAACCGACUGCCGAAGCAAGUCCUCUAUGUAUGCCAGGGCAGGCGUACAGCUGGGGGACAGAAGAAAUGCUUCAAAGACAGCCUGAAAACAUCCCUCAAAACACUGGGCUUCAACUUCAACUCAUGGAAAUCUCCUGCCCUGGACCGUCCAGCGUGGCGCAGAAACCUUACUAGUGGUGCCCGUGCAGCAGAACUGAAACGAACGACAGAUGUGCAAACCAAAUGAGCCGCAUGCAAAGCCAGAGCUGCCUCCACCUCCACCUCAGCACCCACCCAUGUGUGUCCCACAUGUGGGCAUACCUUCCAGGCCCAGAUUGGCCUCAUCGGCCAUCUUCAGACCCACAGCCACCGUUCUUUUAUUUGACUUGGAGCCAUGGUCAUCUUCGACCAUGAAGGACGUAGAGAGAGAGAGAGAGAGAGAGAGAAAGAGUGUUCUUUGUGUUCCUGAUUAUGUUUAUCCCUAAUAGAUCCUUCGUUCCCUGAUACCUCGACUCCCUUCACCUGCUUGCCUGCCCCGUAUCACGACAGAGGGUAGGAGCUACUGAGCUGCGCUGCGUCUUAAGGGGGAGUCCGAGCUUCACCGUUUCUCCAAACAUGGAAAUUAGUAAUGAAUGAAUAAUUAGUAAUUAGGAAGAAAUAUAAAAUUACCAUCAAUCGCCCUCGGUCUGGAGCUUCAUGCAAGAUCAUGCCUCAUGGGUUGAGGAUGAUCAAGAGAAAGGUAAGGGAUCAGCCCACAACUACACAGGGGGAGCUUGUUAAUGAUCUGAAGGCAGUUGGGACCACAGUUACCAAGAACACCACUGGUAACACACUAUGCCAUGAAGGAUUGAAAUCUUGCAGCUCUCACAAGGUGCACAUGUACAGGUCCAUCUUAAAUUUACCAGUAAACAUCUUAAUGAUUCAGAGAAGACUUGAGACAAAGUACUGUGGUCAGUUGAAACCAAAAUCGAACUCUCUGGCAUCAACUCGACCCACUGUGUUUGGAGGAAGAGAAAUGCUGAGCAUGAAGCACAGAGGUGGGAACAUUAUGCUUUGGGGCUCUCUCCAUUUAAAUAAACCUACCAAAAAAAUACAAACCGUUCAUUUCUUUGUAAGUGAGCAAACUUACAAAUUCAGCAGGGGAUCAAAUAAUUAUUUCCCCCACUGUGUGUAAACACACACACACACAAACACACACACACAUGUAGGGUAUAUCUAUCCUUAUGGGGCCCACUCAUUCACUUCUAUGGGAAAAAUGCUAAUGCUAACUAUGACAACCUUAACCCCCACCCUGCCCUAAUCAUAACCGUAAGUAACCAAGCAAAGUAAGACUUUUUGCAUUUUUAGUUUUUUCAUAGUAGUCACUGAUUUUUUCUCAAAAUACAGUUUAAAAAGAAAUGGAUAUUUAUCACGUUAUGGGGACAUUGUGUCCCCAUAAGGAUAGGCACACACACACACACACACACACACAUUUUCUAUUUCUCACUUACACAUUUGAAAUUUAAAGACGGGCUUUUAAAGAUUGGACCAGCAGACAUUUUCUUCUAGUAAUUUCUCACAUAUAGUGAAUAUCCAUAAGGUCUUUAUUUCCCAUAUCAUUAUAUGUGCCCUUGAGAGGUAAAGUUAGCUAUCCCACAUGUCAGUCAAAAAUGAGUUUAGUGUCCAAUAUUAAUUAUUGAGGGUCUAUCUGUUAUUAUCUAAGUCAUAUCUCUGUGCUACCUAUGAUAUAUAUCAAUUGUAGGGUAUAGGCACACUGAUUUUUUGAAAAUACAUUUUUCAACUUUGGAGCUCAUUUUCUCAAAACUUUGUUUUUGUGGGAUAGCCCACUUUACCUCUCAAGGGCACAUAAUAUAAUAGGAUGCUGUGCGAGGCAACAUACCUUCUAUUUCCCAUGAAAAAGCAGAACAGGAUUUUCCCACCCAGAACCAAACUCUAGGAGUUUCCUCACAUUGUUACUUGGUCAAUGCCAUUAUUUUAAUCUUGCUUUAUCACCUAGUGCUACCUCACAGGCUUUUCCUGCUCCUUGAAGGUCCCAUUUGAAAUAAUAGUAGCUGUCAUGCACGUACUUGCUUCUGUUACAAUUUCUGGCACAGCCUAAAGACCUCAACAUGCUACAGGCCGGUGGUGCUGACAUCUCAUCUGAUGAAGACCCUGGAGCGGUUGGUCCUGGUCCACGUUCGACCGUUAGUGAGCCCUUCACUGGACCCACUUCAGUUUGCCUACCAGCCUGGCGUUGGGGUAGAUGAUGCUAUUAUUCAUCUCCUACACAGAUCCCUCUCUCACCUGGAAAAGCCUGGGAGCACUGUGAGAAUCAUGUUUUUUGAUUUCUCCAGUGCCUUCAACACCAUCAUACCCACAAGACUGAGGGACAAGUUACUGUACACAGGAGUGGGCCCCCACCUCACCACCUGGAUUCUGGACUAUCUAACGAAUCGACGAUACAGGACUGUGUGUCUGACACAGUCGUGUGCAGUACAGGGGCCCCACAAGGAACAGUCCUGGCCCCAUUUCUCUUCACCAUAUACACUGCGGACUUCUCACACAACUUGACCAACUGUUUUCUGCAAAAAUUCUCUGAUGACUCCGCGUUUGUUGGCCUCAUUGCUAAUGAGGAUGACAAGGAGUACAGAGAAAUAACCCAAGACUUUGUGGACUGGUGCCAACUGAACAACCUCUAUAUUAAUGCUGGAAAGACCAAAGAACUGGUAGUGGAUUAUCGUAGGCACAAACGUCUUCCACCCACACCAGUCAACAUCUAGGGGAUGGACAUUCAGAUUGUUGACUCCUAUAAGUAUCUGGGUGUUCAUCUGAACAAUAAACUGGACUGGACCCACAAUACAAAUGCUAUUUACAGUAAAGGUCAGAGCAGGGUGUAUCUGCUAUGCAGACUGAGGUCCUUUGGAAUGCAAGGGCCACUCCUGAAGACCUUUUAUGAUUCUGUGGUGGCAUCAGUCAUCUUCUAUGGUGUGGUCUGCUGAGGCAGCAGCAUCUCUACUGGGGAGAGGAAAAAACUGAACAGGCUGAUUAAAAAGGCCAGCUCUGUCUUGGGAGGUCCCCCUGACUCAGGGGAGCUGGUGAGCGACAGGAGAACGUUGGCUGAGUUACAUUCCCUGUUGGAGGACAUCUCCCACCCCUUACAGGACACACUGUCAGUACUGAGCAGCUCCAUCAGCGGCAGACUGGUGCAUCCAAGCUUGUAAUCGAACCCACAACUGCUGAUGCUCCAGAUACUCAACUAGGUCAAAGAAGGCAAGUUUUAUUGCUCCUUUAAUCAGCGCCACAAUUUUGUGCUAACAUUAUUACAAAAGGGUUUUCUAAUGAUCAAUUAACCUUUUAAAAUAAUAAACUUGCAUUAGCAAACACAACAUUCCACUGGAACGCAGGACUAAUUGUUGCUGAUAAUGGGCCUCUGUACAGCUAUGUAAAUAUUCCAUUAAAAAACAGCGGUUUCCAGCUAUGAUAGUCAUUGACAAUAUUAACAAUGAGUAUAUGUCACGCCCGGCUCGUCCGAUCCUCCUGUGUGCCACGCCCUCUCAUUUACCUCAUGUGAAACCCCAAUUGUUAACCAGCUGUUUCCUGUUUUGCUUGUUUAAUCCUGUGUAUUAUGUCCACGUCUGAGUCUUUAACCCUAGAUCUGUCAUUAAUGUUAGUUCCUCGCUGCCUGUGUUUCCUUCGUUUCCCCGUAAUAAACCCCGUUUCCCGAUUAUCCGUCUCCCUGCUCCUGCUUCUCCAGACGCAAUCACAACAUAGUAUUUCUGAUCAAUCUGAUAUAAUUUUAAUUGAUAAAAAAAAAUCUAAGUCACCCCAAACGUUUGAACAGUACUGUAGGUAUCAAAUUAAUUUACACAUAGGAACAACUAUGGUACCAUCUAGAUGGUAAUUAAUGAUAUGUACGAGGAAACUGCAUAUCACAAUGGGGUACCAUGUUCCAAUGUUUAUAUAUGUACAGACUGUCCCAGAUUUACAAUCUAUGUGACUUAUGACCAUUGGCACAUCAGAAUCAAAAUCGGUUUUAUUGGCCAACUAAAGUGGCACAAGGAAUUUGACUUGAUGUUUUGCUCCAAUACGGACAAAACAGUAAACAUUAAAUAAUUAAAGCAAACAUAAAAGGAAAAUACAGGUAUGAGGUCAUUUUAAAAACCCUACUGCAAUACUGCAAAUAGUAGAUAUGUCAUGCCCUGCUCGUGCCAAUCCCCCUGUGUGCCAUCCCCCUCGUUACCUUGUGCAGAAUCCCUGGUUCCCAGCUGUUUCUAGUUGUGUUAAGUAGUCCUGUGUAUUUAAAUCCGCAUUACAGUAUGUUUCCCCAGUCCGGUCAUUAACGUCUUAACAUCGCCAAUGUUUCCUGUGCUUUAAUAAACUCCAAGUUUACCUAUA